UACGUAGGGGGCUAGCGUUGUCCGGAGUCAUUGGGCGUAAAGAGCGCGUAGGCGGCCAGAUAAGUCCGGUGUGAAAGUCAAAGGCUCAACCUUUGAAUGCCGCUGGAAACUGUCUGGCUAGAGUCCGGGAGGGGCGAGUGGAAUUCCUGGUGUAGCGGUGAAAUGCGCAGAUAUCAGGAAGAACACCCGUGGCUAAGGCGGUUCUCUAGUACGGUACUGACGCUGAGACGCGAAAGCGUGGGGAGCGAACAGG
rnacentral:rRNA from 1 species